CAGUAGCCACGGUAAUACGUAGGUGGCAAGCGUUGUCCGGAAUUAUUGGGCGUAAAGGGCUCGCAGGCGGUUUCUUAAGUCUGAUGUGAAAGCCCCCGGCUCAACCGGGGAGGGUCAUUGGAAACUGGGAAACUUGAGUGCAGAAGAGGAGAGUGGAAUUCCACGUGUAGCGGUGAAAUGCGUAGAGAUGUGGAGGAACACCAGUGGCGAAGGCGACUCUCUGGUCUGUAACUGACGCUGAGGAGCGAAAGCGUAGGGAGCGAACAGGAUUAGAUACCCCCGUAGUCCCUGUCUCUUAUAC
rnacentral:rRNA from 1 species